rnacentral:rRNA from 2 species
UACGGAGGAUCCAAGCGUUAUCCGGAUUUAUUGGGUUUAAAGGGAGCGUAGGCGGCCUAUUAAGUCAGGGGUGAAAGACGGUGGCUCAACCAUCGCAGUGCCUUUGAUACUGGUAGGCUUGAAUGUAGUUGAGGUAGGCGGAAUGUGACAAGUAGCGGUGAAAUGCAUAGAUAUGUCACAGAACACCGAUUGCGAAGGCAGCUUACUAAGCUAUGAUUGACGCUGAGGCUCGAAAGCGUGGGGAUCAAACAGG